rnacentral:rRNA from 1 species
AGAGUUUGAUCCUGGCUCAGGACGAACGCUGGCGGCGUGCUUAACACAUGCAAGUCGAACGGAAAGGCCCUUCGGGGUACUCGAGUGGCGAACGGGUGAGUAACACGUGGGUGAUCUGCCCUGCACUUUGGGAUAAGCCUGGGAAACUGGGUCUAAUACCGAAUAGGACCACGCGCUUCAUGGUGUGUGGUGGAAAGCUUUUGCGGUGUGGGAUGGGCCCGCGGCCUAUCAGCUUGUUGGUGGGGUAAUGGCCUACCAAGGCGACGACGGGUAGCCGGCCUGAGAGGGUGACCGGCCACACUGGGACUGAGAUACGGCCCAGACUCCUACGGGAGGCAGCAGUGGGGAAUAUUGCACAAUGGGCGCAAGCCUGAUGCAGCGACGCCGCGUGAGGGAUGACGGCCUUCGGGUUGUAAACCUCUUUCAAUAGGGACGAAGCGCAAGUGACGGUACCUGGAGAAGAAGCACCGGCCAACUACGUGCCAGCAGCCGCGGUAAUACGUAGGGUGCGAGCGUUGUCCGGAAUUACUGGGCGUAAAGAGCUCGUAGGUGGUUUGUCGCGUUGUUCGUGAAAACUCACAGCUUAACUGUGGGCGUGCGGGCGAUACGGGCAGACUAGAGUACUGCAGGGGAGACUGGAAUUCCUGGUGUAGCGGUGGAAUGCGCAGAUAUCAGGAGGAACACCGGUGGCGAAGGCGGGUCUCUGGGCAGUAACUGACGCUGAGGAGCGAAAGCGUGGGGAGCGAACAGGAUUAGAUACCCUGGUAGUCCAA